rnacentral:lncRNA from 1 species
CUGUCUCACGAGAACCUGAAUAUCUCUUAACAUACUGUCCAUAUGAUCGUUUCAUUACUUUCUUAUGAAAAUAGAUUCAUCAAGGUUCAUUUACAUAAUUUAUUAAUUAUUUAAUUCCAAUCCUAAUAUUUUUAGUGAUUUUCCAAAUCUACAUCACUGCUGCUGCCAGCAUCUGCCUUUAAGGUAGACUUUACCUAUUUCAUAGUUUCCAUGAUUCAACUAGCC